rnacentral:rRNA from 1 species
GGGAAUAUUGCACAAUGGGCGAAAGCCUGAUGCAGCAACGCCGCGUGAGUGAUGAAGGUCUUCGGAUUGUAAAGCUCUGUCUUUUGGGACGAUAAUGACGGUACCAAAGGAGGAAGCCACGGCUAACUACGUGCCAGCAGCCGCGGUAAUACGUAGGUGGCGAGCGUUGUCCGGAUUUACUGGGCGUAAAGGGUGCGUAGGCGGAUGUUUAAGUGAGAUGUGAAAUACCCGGGCUUAACUUGGGUGCUGCAUUUCAAACUGGAUAUCUAGAGUGCAGGAGAGGAGAAUGGAAUUCCUAGUGUAGCGGUGAAAUGCGUAGAGAUUAGGAAGAACACCAGUGGCGAAGGCGAUUCUCUGGACUGUAACUGACGCUGAGGCACGAAAGCGUGGGUAGCAAACAGGAUUAGAUACCCUGGUAGUCCACGCCGUAAAACGAUGAGUACUAGGUGUAGGAGGUAUCGACCCCUUCUGUGCCGCAGUAAACACAUUAAGUACUCCGCCUGGGAAGUACGAUCGCAAG